rnacentral:rRNA from 1 species
UGGGGAAUAUUGGACAAUGGGCGCAAGCCUGAUCCAGCCAUGCCGCGUGAGUGAUGACGGCCUUAGGGUUGUAAAGCUCUUUUAACAGGGACGAUAAUGACGGUACCUGUAGAAUAAGCCCCGGCAAACUUCGUGCCAGCAGCCGCGGUAAUACGAAGGGGGCUAGCGUUGUUCGGAAUUACUGGGCGUAAAGCGCACGUAGGCGGAUUUUUAAGUCAGGGGUGAAAUCCCGAGGCUCAACCUCGGAACUGCCUUUGAUACUGGAGAUCUUGAGUUCGGAAGAGGUUGGUGGAACAGCUAGUGUAGAGGUGAAAUUCGUAGAUAUUAGCUAGAACACCAGUGGCGAAGGCGGCCAACUGGUCCGAUACUGACGCUGAGGUGCGAAAGCGUGGGGAGCAAACA